rnacentral:misc_RNA from 1 species
AGGGUACUUACAUCAAUUAACAAUUCAAGUCUCAAACUUACAUGCCAGAAUUUAUUCUCCUAGAGAUAUGGUUUGCACCUUGGAAUAUUUGAUCAACUAAAACCACUGAUGCAGGAGUACUUGGACUAUAUGUGAUAUGUUCACAACCACAAUAUUAUUAUAUGACAUAAUUUGGAUCAAACAUCAGUAAUUCCCUUGUCA